UACGUAGGGGGCAAGCGUUGUCCGGAUUUAUUGGGCGUAAAGCGCUCGCAGGUGGUUCGCUGCGUCGUGCGUGAAAGACCUCGGCUCAACUGGGGGAUGUCGUGCGAUACGGGCGGACUGGAGGCCAGUAGGGGGAUGCGGAAUUCCGGGUGUAGUGGUGGAAUGCGUAGAGAUCCGGAGGAACACCAGCGGCGAAGGCGGCAUCCUGGACUGGUCCUGGACACUCAGGAGC
rnacentral:rRNA from 1 species